CUAUUAUUUUUCUUGUCUCUACUUUUAUUUGUUAAAAAGGGGAUUCUACUAAAGCAAAAAAAAAAAAUGAAUCUCAAUCAGCUAGAAAGCCUCUUGGGCGAUCUUCAAAAAUUCUCAAACCCAAAGGUGGAACUCGAACAGUACCCAACUGGACCUCAUAUCGCUUUUCGCUUGCUUUACACUGCUGAGAAUUCGUUUGAUGAUAUUAGCACAAGGUGGUUUCGAUGGUGUAUUUUGGUUAUGGGUGUGG